CAUAGACGAGAGAAGCACACCCCGAUACAGCGACGAGGGAAACCCACACGCACCCGAAGCUCCCCCGCCUUCCUCCUCCUUCAACGUUGUCGUUCAAGUCGCAACACACAAGCAUCCCUUCUUUUAUACUAACGGAGUUUCGCUUGCGCUCACGCCCAUCGCACAGACACUUGUACACACGUACAGGGAGGCUGCCGCUUACAGCCUCCUCCUCCGUCGUCGUGUGUAGGUGUGUGUGGUUUCGCGCGUGCGAUCCCUCACUCCUCCUGCCGCACCAACAGGCAGACGCACGCACAGACGAGGCAUUGAUCUGUCCGCGCUACACUCGUCCAUCUCUCUGCUGUCGCGGUAGUCUUGGCACCUAGAUUGAUCCGUGCACAUGUCGUAGAGCCCACGCCCAUCCGUCCUCCCCUACCUAACUAGACAAACACACACACAGAUACAUAUAAACAUACACAGAGAGAGAGAGCGGCACCGUGGCCAUGGCAUCCCUUCUUCGUCGGUUGCGCUCCUCGUCUCCGUCGCUGGUGCGCGCGGGCGGAAAAGACGACGCUGCGGCAGCCGACAUGUUUCUAGUGCAAAUCAUCGCGUUUGGCGAGGUCUUCGCCGUCCCCGUGUGCAAGACGACUCCAGUCACGGUGGUCCUGCGCCACGUGAUGGAGGCGGCGGUGACGGAGGAGCAGGCGGCGGAGCUGGGUAGCGUGAAGGCGACGCUGUACUACAAAGACACGCCGCUCCGGCUCGACGCGGCAAUGAAGAAUGUCCCACGCAACGCUGUCCUCCACCUGCACUCAAGUGUGUCUACCACCUCCUUGAUCGUCCGCGAUCGUCGGCGCGGGGCCGUGUCGAUGCUGCCGGACAGUCGCCGGCGGGAUGCCAGCACGACGGUCACGGUGCGGCCCUGCAUGCGGGGCAAGAGCGUUGCCGGUGGUGGCUCUGAGUGCUCCGGCACCCCCGCCUCUCACCGACUCUCGUCUGGCUUUGCGGGCCUUUCUUCGGCGGUCAGCCCCGAUACAGAGCGGCAGGGGAGCCCCGCGGCCGCGAGACUUGGUGGCAACUCCGAGUCUGUCUCCUCCGCCUUCCACGACAUGGGGCUGAUGAGUAUGGCGACGCUGCCGUUGAUGUCUACUGCUCCCGCCGCGGCGACUUCGGGGACCGGCGUCGUUGGUGAGGCGCGAUACUACUACUUCGUCCCCUGUGCAGGUGCCGCGACGCGAACUCCGAUACAGCUGAUCAGCACUCCGAGCCGCACCGCGUCAGCGCUGUCGCUCAUGGCGAGCCGCCGUCGCGACAGCGCCGUUGACUUGGCGAACAACUGCUGCUUCCCUCCGGCCGGUGUCAGCCCUCUCGACACCGCCGCCAUCGCCGCGGCUGAGCCGUUGCUGUUCUCCCCUCUCCCUUCGCCAUCCAACGCGGCUGCCGUCGCCGCCACCGACCGCCUCACUGGCAGCAGCGAAAAGUACUUGCUCGUGUACCUGCGUCUGCCGCGCGACAAGGCAGCCGCCUGCAUGUCUGCCGCCGCCCUGAACGCUGACCGCAAUAUGCUCGCGGAGGCGGUGGAGGUGGACGAGGUGCCGGUCGAGGCACUGCUGGACGCGACCAUGUCGACCGUCGCGACCACCAAAUCCCGUGCCACCAGGGCGUACGCAUACCGCCGUCUGCGCGUGCUGCGGGACUUCCCGGUGGGCACACUGCGCGAGCUGUUCGCUGUUGCGGCCGAGCACCGCCUGCAUGUCGCUCAUGUCGAAGUGGAGGAUGAGCAGAAAACCUUCCGCGAGAUGCGCGUGGUCCCGAACACCGUCUUCUACUUCAAGAGGCGAGUCGAGGCAGGCAGCAACGCGGGGACGGAGCAAAAGGAUCCCCAGCGCUCUCUGACUCGCGAGCGCAUUCGCGAGCACCUCGCUGCCACCGCGACAGUGCCGCGGCCGCUGGAGGUGGCGAGGGAUGACAGCAGCGCUGAGAGGCGCCCCAUCCCUUGUCACAUCGAGCCGGUGCGUCCUUCGGCGGGCCGGCCCUUCCCUUCCGCCUCUGCGCCUGUGUUCUCCGGCACCGUGCCGAGCUCUCGCGCCCACGAUCGCAUCCAGAGCAGUGCCAGCAUCAGCACCACCUCCAGCGCCCUCUCCAUUCAGGAGCGCAUCGGUGCCUUCAACGAGGGCACUGCGCGAAACCCCACCUACGGCGCAGGGCAGUCCGCCUGCGUGGCGGACGGCAGUGCGGAGGCAGCCUCGGUGGCUGCGCCCACGAACCGGUACGCCGUGGAGGGCCACGAGCUGACUCUGUCUUCUGCCAUGACCCCCGAGUUGGCUGCGCUGCGCACUGAGGCGGAGACGACGGCGCGUCAGCAGUUGUCCCAGGAACGACACCGCAGCACAGAGCGCGACGACCCACUGAAUGCCAUUUCGCCGGAGGACAUCGAGGCGGCGGAGGCGGAGGAGUCGUGCAUCGACGUGGACUGCUGUUUGGCAGACAGAGAAGGAGAGGAGGCAGCAGCCGCCACACCCACUGCGACGCAUCGUGCUGCUACACCACAAGCUGCUUCGGUGUUACAGGCUACUUCCAUGACUGCCGCCGCUGCUCCCGCCGUAGAAGCGGCGGCAUCGCAGCAGGCGGCGGGGAAGGCGUAUCGCCUGCACCGUCGCUCCCCAACUGCGGCGGCGGCGAAAACGCGCAGCGACGCGCUCCAUAGCGAGGAGGAGGUGCUGGCCAAGGCAGCGCGCACGACUGCAUCCACGCGCUCGCCCAAGGCGCGGCGAGCGUCGAUGCUGGUAGCCAAGAUGCACGACGCCCUACGCGGGCACAGAACCAAAAGCACCCCGGUGUCCGCGGCCCUGACACCACCCCAUCACGCUGGCGAGGGGCCGCAGCCGCUGUUCGCGGCCGAUGCUCUGCAGCCGGCCAUCGACGCCGGUGAGCCGCUCGACCCGCUCGCCGCACGCGCCGAUGGGGUCCCGCUUCGCCUACCCCAUGCCGCUGACGAGGCGGCCGACGCAAAGCCGAAGCGAAGGCCGUCAGAGGAGUCGAACAAAGAACCGGCGACUGGCAAGGGGGCAACGCCGUCGUCCGAUGGCGCCGCAGCGGUGAGCCGCGCAACCUCGACGGGGCCGCCGACAGCGAAGAUGAAAGUUUCUGACAGCGCCUCGCCCUUUCACCCCGUGCGACGGAUGUCGUCGCGCCAGCGCAAGGCGCACGGUGCCAUCAGGCCUUCCCCGUCUGGCAAGGAUGCGCUCAUCGCCCCCUCGCUCGCCGCCACGUCUUCGUUGACGCUGUCCACCUCCGAGGAGGUCCUGAAGGCAUUGAGGCGCGAUUCGGCGCACCUCAGCAACAAGAAGCCAAAGGAAGCGGUCAAGACAACGCCAGCUGAAACCACCGCCUGGACGCCGUUAUCGGCUGCGAGAGCAGCCGCCACGGCCGAAUCGGCGGGGCGAGGCAAGGCGGAGGUGGGGGACACACCUGGGCAACCGAAGGUGAUUCCAGAGAACGACGGCCCCUCACGCGGUAGUGGCGCGUCGUACAGUCAACGCAAUCGCCGUGCAAGCGCGAGUGUGCCGUGCCAGCCUGUUGCCUUCCUCGGCUCCGACCCUAGGCAAGCAGCCAGCAUGACUUUGCCCGCCGAAACGGCCCCAGCUGCUGUAGACAUCAGCACAACGCUUGAACCAGCCGUGCUCAGCUCCACACGUGUCCCUACCCCACCUGACUCGCACACCCCUGCGUCGAUCCUCGUCUCCGCCACGCAGGGGCAGCGCAGCGGCCGGCAGAGGAACAGCUGCACCCCCGGGAGCUGCUCGCUUGAGCGCGUAAACCCGACCCCGUCCGUGUGGCGGCACAGAGAGGAGAGCGGCCCCUUGGGGUACAGUGUCGAGAGUCCCAGCAGCGCACACCGGCUGCGCAUCACCCUCAGGGACCCGCAAGACCCCACACGCUUUCACUACGGCGUCCCCGUCGAGCCGGACUGUCCGGUUGGGGCGCUGCGGGAGUGGAUUGCAGCGAUGCAGCGACCAAGCAGCGCAGUGGGCGAGGGCGUGCCGGACCUGUGCGACGCGAAGCGCUACGGCAUCUUUCUGGGCGACACGUACCUGUCCGAGGCAGACUCCGUCACCUUCGCUGAGGUGACGUGCGGUCGAAAUGACAGCGUCUUCUCCAUUCGCCUCCUGUAGCGCCCGCCGCUGCGCCACGGGCGCACAGCUGGUUGGUGGUGAUGUGCGUCUGUGCGGCUGCGUAUACGUCGUGGCUGGCGCGAUACUUGUGAUGCAUGUACGGUACACACGACCUUCAUGACUUGCACCCCGCCACGCUCUCUCUCCCUCUCCCUCCCUCGCCGACCCGCCAACGCCCACACAAGCACGCGCGUUGUUUUCUUGAUGGGUGAGCGGGACAAAGAGAUGUGCUACGUGCACAGUGCCGCCCGUACGCACCACUGCACGCUGCGGCACUGAUACCUCCUUGCCGUCGUUCCUUUCCUUUCCUUUAUAGUUUUCAAUCAUGUUCCCCCCCCCCAUCCGCCCCUUGUCCCCAUUGUUUUUCAUUGUUGAGGUGAUCAGUGCCGUGGCCUCCACCGAUUGCCUGUGCGCGCGCGCGUGUGCGUGCGUGUGUGUGACGACGCCAGGUGAGUUGUGUAGCUUCGUGUAUGUGCAUAUGCAAGCCGUGAUGGCUGUCUUCUUCCCUUUGGUUGCUUUACUCUGCCGCUUCACUAACACCAUGACGUGCCGCCUGCUGCUCCGCUGGCAUUGGCGUACCCCCGCCCCGCCUCUGUUUGCUGUGAGGGUGUCCGGCCAGGCGUUGUGCCCGAUGUGCCACGCGAGACUUGCGGGUCUCUCGAGGCCCACACCUCGCUUCACACGAUGCUCUUGCAUGCAACGAUCCGAUGACGCGCACGUCUCACUCGCGCUGCACGAGCUCCUUAUCUGGCGGGCAUCUACCGCUGCCCCCUGUCCCCCUUCCGGUUGACAAGCUAUGCGCUCUCUGUACGCAGGCAAAUGCCUAUCCGCGGGCCCCUUCCGCCUGACACACCCACGCCUGUGAAGGGCGUGCGGAUUCAGCAGGAGGGUGGAGCGCCCCCUGCCGCCACGGACUCAUGUCGACGUCCCACCUGUCGCAGCAAAUGCGGGCACGCCAACCCACACACGGACCGGGUGACAUGGACGGCAAUGGACGAUGAAGGCAGCGAGCUACCCAGGCAGCAGUAUCGUUCUGAAACGGCCCUCAGGGUGCAACAGUGCGAGCGCUGUGCAGCGCAGCUGGCAUGGCGCACCGCAUCCGAGCAAAGGCGUCCAGAGGCCCAAGGAGCACGAGCGGUGGACGAAAAAGGUGCGGAUAGAUGCCCACCGACCAACGCCACAGCGCACGCGUGCGACGCAUGGCGAGAGCACCCUGAAUUGGCACCGUCAAGCCCUCCAGACUGCCGUGUGGUGAGUCACCACACCAUACUAUGGAAUACCGCGGCUUGAAGCGACUCAAGGGGAAGCAUGGCAGGCAGGCGAGGAUGCGCAGGACCUCAGAGGGCCCUGGCCUGAAGCUGGCCAACCUCCUCCUUGAGUUCAUCCGGCAUCCACCUGGACCCAUCCCCUACUACCCGCACGAUAGGCGGCACCCCACCGCCCUCCAGCAGGUGCCUGGACGCGACCCUCUCGAAUCAAGGCAUGCGGCCCGCCCGAGUCUGUGUGGCGCCGAUUGCGCCGCACGUUUGCGAAGAAGAGAAGAGGAAGGAUAGGGAGAGCCCGCUUAGGCGCAUGGCUCCGAUUCGACGGCAGGGACGGCUCAUCCUAGACGACGAGGAUGUAGCCGCAGUGUGUGGCAGAGGUAGAUGAGCUGUGGUUGCGUAUGCGUGUACGUGUCCUGACUUGUUCGUGGCAGAAACGGGCACGGUGGAAAGUGAAAAAGAAAAGUGCCGCAUCACUUCAUGGGUGCAUUGCGCUCGAUCGGCAUCGUUUUCGCUUCCCUCUCACUGUGUGUGUGUGUGUGCUGAUGGAUACGCGUGUGCCUCGCGAGUACGUCUCCUCCCUCCCUCUCUGUGGUUGUCCUGUGCCGUCUUCCCAUGUUUCUGCGUUGCUCGCUUCUCUUUCUCUCGCCCCUUCUCUCUAUAUGAGC
rnacentral:misc_RNA from 1 species